CUGGAUACAAAGCAAGAAGCAGAAGGCAAUCACACUAAGCAACAUGCAGCUCUAGAUGCAUCAUGCAGUCCUGUGCCAAAGCACCACUGACUGACCAUCAGGCAGCAGGAUCCCAAAUCAUUCAUAACUUUAUACCAGGAAUAAGACCCAGAAGUGAACAGAAAGUGCAUGCAAAUACAAAGACCUGGCAUGUGACAUCAGUGUUCACAGUAAACCUAUGGCAAAUCUGGCUACUGACCAGACGCCGAGUGGAAUUCAGAAAUGCUGGCGAGGUGAGAUGAGGCGAGUGCUACUGUAGAAUGUUUUGUUACAGUUAAGCACUUGAAAGCUGAAUCAGCAAGAAAUGGGGCCAACUACCCUACACAGCUGACUGUGUUUCCUGUUGAAGAAAAAGAAAGUUGGCUCCACACAAAUACUGCACAUACAGGAGUGGGCCACUUUGCUCCUGUAAUGACAAAAGGUUAUCAAUUGAAUUUUGCAAUAGUUCUGAUCGUUCAGAAGAAACAGCUCGAUGGAUGCUAACUGAUAGACCUCCACCACUUAACAAAACCUCUCCAGUGAUGCUGAAGCAAGCCAAGUGCUCAGAUACUGUAUAAACCUGAGUUUAUGCCAGAGUUUGAACUCUCUGGCAAAGGUACUGCCUAGCUAAAUACAGAACAUCUUUAUGAUGAGCAAUAACAGAGCAUAUAAAAUAACAGUAGGACCGAGGAAUAGCAAUUACACCUCUUUCCUUCCAAAUUGAAUUGUGCACUUCUCUGCAAUAAGGAAUAAUUGUCAUGUUUAUUGUGUUUGUCUGAAUUAGACUGUAAUCUUCUUUUUACAUGUCUGUAAAGCACUGUGUACGCUUAUGUCCCUGUGUAAAUAAUAAUAAUGGGUUUGCUAGUGUAUAGGUGUUGUAACUGUCCUUAUUAAAGUAGAAGAUGCAUAUUAGGAUUAAUUCCCCAGGCUUCCCUUUAGUAAUCUUACCCAGUUAAAACUUGCUAGUAAACUGAAGGAAAGAAAGAAAAGAGAUUAUUCUGCUGCUACAAAGUGCUGUCUUGAGUGCAUUUAGAGAUUAAAAAUGUAUAAUUAGUCGAUGGAACUCAUUGCCACAAAAUAUUCUUGAGGCCAAGAGCUAAAAGGGUUAAAAAAGUGUAUGCCUUGCGGCUAAGUGGCAUACGUAUACAUCCACUGCAAGUAGCUCAGGGCACUGAAGGCUACUUAGAGUAUCUUGAGAUCAGAGUUGCUGAAAUAGCACAGCGAGAGAGAGAGA
rnacentral:lncRNA from 1 species